rnacentral:tRNA from 1 species
GGCCCGUUGGGCAAGUGGUUAAGACACCGCCCUUUUACGGCGGUAACACGGGUUCGAAUCCCGUACGGGACA